rnacentral:rRNA from 1 species
CAGUAGCCGCGGUAAUACGGAGGGUGCAAGCGUUAAUCGGAAUUACUGGGCGUAAAGCGCACGCAGGCGGUCUGUCAAGUCAGAUGUGAAAUCCCCGGGCUCAACCUGGGAACUGCAUUUGUGACUGGCAAGCUAGAGUCUGGCAGAGGGGGGUGGAAUUCCGCGUGUAGCAGUGAAAUGCGUAGAUAUGCGGAGGAACACCGAUGGCGAAGGCAGCCCCCUGGGCCAACACUGACGCUCAUGCACGAAAGCGUGGGGAGCAAACAGGAUUAGAUACCCGCGUAGUCCCUGUCUCUUAUAC